rnacentral:rRNA from 1 species
GACGAACGCUGGCGGCGUGCCUAAUACAUGCAAGUAGAACGCUGAAGGAGGAGCUUGCUCUUCUGGAUGAGUUGCGAACGGGUGAGUAACGCGUAGGUAACCUGCCUGGUAGUGGGGGAUAACUAUUGGAAACGAUAGCUAAUACCGCAUAAUAACAGUUGUUGCAUGACAACUGUUUGAAAGGUGCAAUUGCAUCACUACCAGAUGGACCUGCGUUGUAUUAGCUAGUUGGUGGGGUAACGGCUCACCAAGGCGACGAUACAUAGCCGACCUGAGAGGGUGAUCGGCCACACUGGGACUGAGACACGGCCCAGACUCCUACGGGAGGCAGCAGUAGGGAAUCUUCGGCAAUGGACGAAAGUCUGACCGAGCAACGCCGCGUGAGUGAAGAAGGUUUUCGGAUCGUAAAGCUCUGUUGUAAGAGAAGAACGAGUGUGAGAGUGGAAAGUUCACACUGUGACGGUAUCUUACCAGAAAGGGACGGCUAACUACGUG